rnacentral:rRNA from 1 species
UACAGAGGGUGCAAGCGUUUAAUCGGAAUUACUGGGCGUAAAGCGCGCGUAGGUGGUUCGUUAAGUUGGAUGUGAAAUCCCCGGGCUCAACCUGGGAACUGCAUUCAAAACUGUCGAGCUAGAGUAUGGUAGAGGGUGGUGGAAUUUCCUGUGUAGCGGUGAAAUGCGUAGAUAUAGGAAGGAACACCAGUGGCGAAGGCGACCACCUGGACUGAUACUGACACUGAGGUGCGAAAGCGUGGGGAGCAAACAGG